rnacentral:rRNA from 1 species
CCCUUAGAUGUUCUGGGCCGCACGCGCGCUACACUGAUGCAUUCAACGAGCCUAGCCUUGACCGAGAGGUCCGGGUAAUCUUUGAAACUGCAUCGUGAUGGGGCUAGAUUAUUGCAAUUAUUAAUCUUCAACGAGGAAUGCCUAGUAAGCGUGGUUCAUCAAAUCGCGUUGAUUACGUCCCUGCCCUUUGUACACACCGCCCGUCGCUCCUACCGAUUGAGUGUGUUGGUGAGGAGUUUGGAUUGGCCUCGGAAGGUGGUUCGCCACCGUCCGUAGCUGAGAAGUUCUCCAAACCGCCCCACUUAGAGGAAGGAGAAGUCGUAACA